rnacentral:lncRNA from 1 species
AUGGAGAGGAUGGAGGUGGACCAGUGCGCAGGCGCAGGAGGAGCCCUCCGAAGGUCGAACAGCGCCCCCAUGAUCACGAACGUCAGCGACGGGACGACAGUAUUCAGCUCUAAUAGUUCGGCUCGGUAUCGUCGGAGCAGCGUUUCUGUGAACCCGAGCUGUCCCUCCCGGACCCUUCCUCUGUCCCCAUUCUCCCUGCCAUGUGAGAGAUCCGAACACAAGAGACAGAUUGAGAAUAUGGAGCUCACUUUGAGAGGGAGUUUGCAGAGACUAAGUGCCUCGCCUGCUGUUCCGUUCCCUCCUGCGAGUCAUUGGCAUGACCAUCUGUCUCCAGGAUUCCAUUCCCAGGACAGCGGUGUCACUCCUAAUUCCUCACCCAGUCCAAUUCGAAGGUUUCGAGGAGGAUCUGUGAGCUCUGGAGUGAGAUGGCCAUCAGUUGCACCUUUGAAAAGGAAAGGUGGAGUGGAAUCGGACGGUCCUCCCAAAAAGCUCUUUGUUGCUGGAGUCACAGACCCUGCUCACAUAACCAGUUACACAGUCAGUGUUUCCCAGUCAGUGGACUCUUCCUCUGGGACUGCUCCUGUCGAUUCAAACACCCAGGCCACCCCCCUGUCCCUCUCCCCUCCGUCCCACUUCACCUCUCACCACCCCAGCAUCUAAACCCCAGUAUUCAUCACAUCAUAGUCCACAUCAUCAUCUUGUAGAGCUUUGGACUCAAGGUGUUGUAAAAUGAAGACCAAACUUCGACCUAAACUCGGUUCUGUCCCUUUUUGUUUUUAAUUUGGUGCUUUGAAUAGAGUAUUUCAGCUCAAUCACUUCUGAAGGAAAUUCGACUUUGUUGUGUGACUUUGAUUUCAAAGGAAAUCAAGAUGCAAUAGAAGAAGACAAAAUCUUCUGGAUGUAUCUGACAUGACAACAUGGACGCUGCAGGCUAUCAUGUGAUUUGUGAAUAAUUAUGGAUCUUCCGUGCCUAUGGAAUAGUUUGUUAUAUGUAUGAAACAGUAUCUGCAAUAACACAUUGCAAUGAAAGUGUUCAGGUAACUGAAACCUGGCGCAUAUUGACACAAAGAACCUUUCCCUAGUGUACAGAAGUGUUCAAGAGAAAGACCAGUUUUGCUCUUCUUUGUUUUCCUCAACUUUUGUAUUUUGGCACAUCUUCAGCUUCCAUUGACAGGGUCCAACAGUCUGGUAAAACGUCCAGAAUGCAUAGAAAAUGGACUAAGGAUAAAGAGUAUUAAAAUCAGUUGGCCAUAGGUGUCAACUUUUUGUAUAAAUGUGUAAAAAAAUGUGAAUAAUCGAAUAUUAUUUUGGUAGGUUAUUAAUCCUAUGUUUUUCUCUUGCGUUUAUCCGAGGGCUCUGAUGUCUGUAAAUAUGUUUAUUUUUCCAUAUAACUUUUAGCUUGGACUGAACUUUUUGAGUUGGAAAAAUAUUCCUUAAAUCAUUGGAAAGGAUACCAGCGAAUUCAGGCAACUCCCACAUUUUAAUUCGCUUAUCGCUUACUUGAAGGAAUAGUUCACCCAAACAUGUAAAUUUGCUGACAAUUUAUCUACCCUCAGGGCAUCCAAGAGUUUGUUUCUUCAUCAGAACAGAUUUGGUGAAAUGUAGCAUUAAAUCACUUGCUCACCAAUGGAUCCUCUGCAGUGAAUGGGUGCCGUCAGAAUGAGAGUCCAAACAGAUGUUAAAAACUUUACAAUAAUCCAGAAAUGAUGAAGUUAAAAUGGCUUAAAUUUUGGAUUUGGACUCUCAUUCUGACGGCACCCAUUCACUACAGAAGAUCCAUUGGUGAGCAAGUGAUAUAAUGCUACAUUUCUGCUGUAAUGCUAAAU